GGGUGGUGAGGGUUGAUGGUGGUGGAGGUGGGUGGUGAGGGCUGAUGAUGGAGGAGGUAGGUGAUGGCGGCUGAUGGUGGUUUAGGCGGGAAUGUUUUUUUUUCUACAUGGGUAAGGUUUGCAAGAACUAUUUAACACCGACGGAUUAUGUCUCUAUGAUAUUCACCAAAGAUGGAAUAUGGGCUGCAAUGCACAUAGUGGAAAGAUGUUCAUCCUUAUCAGGUUAAAGCGGUGCUGCUGGAGUGUGCAGGGUACCAUGGUGUGGCUUGAGUGCAAGUGUGGAAGCGAAGGGUAAUAAAGAGGCUGCUUCCAUAUCUAUGACUUUUUACUUAGCCUGCUUAAUCUUUUUUUAAGGAUGCUUUCAUAUCACAAGUUAGAAAAAUAAGAAAUCCAAGAAGCUUACAUGCUCCCAACAAAACUGACAAAGUAAACUAUGCUUCCUGCUAUUUACUACAAGAUGCAUGGACGGUUGCGAUUAUGAGUGCGUUUAUUAAGCGUGGACAGGAAUCUGGUUAUACCAAAAUUACAUUGAGAGGUAACACUCCGGAUGAGAAGAUUGUUAUAAUAUGUAAGAUAGAUGCGCAUAACAGGCCGACUGGCUACAUAAGGGUGAGAACUAGGUAACCUGAGAUGCGGUGUUUGAGCAUGAUUCGUGGGUUCGGGUGUGAUUAGAGGUGACGUGGGAGAUAGAGAUGGGUAUAGGAUUCGAUUAUGGCUUAAUUCGUAAUAGGCAAGCCAGUUUUCUCUUGGAACUGUAUAACAACGAUUAUGGAAGCAACCGAGCUUCUGAAUUGGGAUGUUGACGGAAAGCUAUUCUCACCCACUCUCGAUGAUUGCUUCAGGUCAAAACAUCAUGAAGUUGGUCAAGGAUGGUUUUAUGAUUUGAAAGCCAACCAAUAUUCACUCGAGGUCUCGGGCACGUCGCAUAAAAGAGGUUAAUAGAAAAGGUUGUCAUUCUCUAUAUGGCGAGUUUUAUUUAUCAAGUUUCAGCUAGCACUUCAAGCCUUUAGCCAAUCAGGGAGGAUGGAUAGCCAACACACUUGUGAGCAAAGGUUUGUCUGUGACCACAUUCAGAAAAGUAUAGAUAAGGAGAUACUCUUGAAAUAUCCUAAUUCAGUUCUACUAGAUACUUUUUAGUUAUUUUUGCUUAAUAAUAGCAAUUCCUAGAAGUUAACGUGCUGUUGAUUGUUGACUGUUUAGAUAGCUAUAUGUUUUAACAGAAAAAAAUGAAUGAAAUAUUUUGUUCUUUGUAUAAUAUAUUUUAUGUUUUG
rnacentral:lncRNA from 1 species